UACCAUCGCUCUGGAAUCGGACUUCCAGGUGACCUUCUCUGAGCUGGAGGCUGCGGUGGCUGGGGAUUGUCAUGUCAGGACUGGGAGGACCACAGUUGUCGAGGGCCAGCGGACAGUGGAGCUUGCCUCCACUCAGGACGACUGCAAACAGGUGUGUCCCAUUAUCUACUAUCCACCUGAUUAUUUUGUUGUGUAGCGUUACACUAGAGACAUGUGAGUCCAAUGGCUUGUCCCAGGCUGAUUACCUGGCUCUACUAUGAUUACCGUUCCCCUUUUAGAAAGAGAUUAAAGAAAUCAUUAACCCAAUCAAUAUAAUACCAUCCAAAAUAUUCAACAAUGUUUAGGAAAAAUAUUCUACAAUAUUUGUGAUGGUAUUUUUUUGCGACACCCGCUGGAGAAAUGGUUAAAUGCAGUGUUGGAUACAGUGAGGAUCGUGUUUACAGGUAUGAAGUCGCGAAGUUGCUUGGAUUUUUUUUUUUUUCUGAGAUACAUUUCUGUAUUUUUAGCCGACAGGCUUUUAUACAUAUUUAGGAAAAGCAAUGAAUGGGGAACGCUUAAACUGGUUCAGAGUUUAAUAGAUUUCUUUAUUUUUGCUAACGGUUAAAAUUACCCCCUUCUCGUCGGUUCUAAUGUUAAUUAUUCAAAUAGCUUCAUACUCUUUUUGAUAAAUAUAGAAUCAAAAAUAUGCAUUUAUUUAGCAUUGUAUUUGAAUGGGACCCUCAGAUAUGAUGGUGCCAUAUUUUGCUGAUUGGAGUACUCAGAUGCCGCUCACCCUAGACUAGGGAGUAUUUCUUUAACUCGUAGUUAUUAUAUUUUGACCCAUAAUUUAUAGAAAUGUGCUUUCAGAGUGAUUUGUUCCUUUAUUACAUUCAUAUAAAUAUAUAUGUAUGUUGUUUUUUUUUUAACAUGUUACCAAUCUGAGGUGACGUAUAUUGUCCUUUGCAAUAUGUUUGAAUCAAUCUAUCUUACGGUUUGGCAGAUCUCACAGAUAAUUUCCUUUAUUUGCUCCCACAGACCCUGGGAUACAUACAGGGUUUAAAAAGAGUUGAGAUUCCUGAUGUGAUAGAAAGAGCGAUUGUCAGAGAUGAUGGGACGAUGGUCCAGAGGGUUCGAGUCCAUAGAGCUCGCACCCAGAGGAGGACGGUGGUGAGGGGAGCCAGCCUUGGGAACAGAGUCUUCCCGGAGCGGGAGGAUGACUCCAGCAGAAGACCCCAACCCCGCAGCCUCAAGCUGCAGCUCCCUCAGCCCAACCACCGCCUCCACAAAGAAGGGGUCGAAGACGGCAACGAAUCGGACGACGAAGCGGAGGACGACAGAGAGGAUGAAGAAGAGAAAAGGAAGAUAUAAAACCCCUCCCCCCUUUUUUUCUCACCAAUCCUAUGCAUGGGCCUCAUGCGUUGCCACCUACCAGUCUUCCUCCAUGAUGUUUCCUUCACCAGUCAGGAUGUUUUCCCUUCCCUUGCCUCGUUGUGUAACUCGACAUGGUUGCUCUUCUCUAUCAAACUAAAUUGUAUUUUUUUGCUAUUAUUUUAUUUUUGUGGCAAAAGAAUGUGCCUGAUUUGUUUUUGAUGUCAUGAUCAUUUGUCCUGGAUGUAAUUUUUUUUUUUUCUGUGGUAGAAUAAUGCAAAACAAAGCAAAAAUAGAUUAGAUAUUUACAACAGCUAUCUCACAAAGCUCUGACAGAGAAAUACCAGAGAAAACGAAACACUGGUUCGUAUGUGCUUGGACUUGGACACUAUACCACUGCACUGCCUCUCACCAAACCACACAUUUAUUAUAAUUUAUCACUUGGAUCUAUAUUCAAAUCACUGUAUACCUAAAAGUAUCUCCACGUUUGUCUAGGGGUCAAGAUGUCACCAAAAACAAAUACAUAUAACUUUAUUAACAUUGAAAUUCGUAUGUACUGCUGCCGUGUUUUGUGUAUGCUAUGUGAUAUUUGUCUCUGAAAGGUAUAUAUAUAUAUUCUAGAAAUUACGAACAACUGUAGCCUAUGGAAUAUUAAUCACCCAUGUAAAGUAGAGCAGGCAUGACUAAUCAAAAUCUGACACUAUGCUAACUAGCUAUAGGCUGCUUCCUGAAUCUAGUUGUUUUUUUUGCCUCAAUUGCUUUUUAAGGUGUCUCUGUAUCUCAUACUCUCUUUUUCUUUGUGUCUCAUUGUCAAUGUCGUUUUUUUGUCUGUUUUGUGCAGUUUUUACUUCAUAAUAUGAGCAGUGUGUAUGCUUCUGGGUGAGCUUUUGUGCGCUUAAAUGUGUUUGUGCGCGUACAAGUUGUGAUUGAGUCGGAUACGGUUGAUCGACAGCUGCGUCGAAGAGAAUAUUUUUUGAAAGAUUGUAAGCAGCUCUUCUGGAGAUGUCCUAUUUUAGCAUUCUUUUUUAAGUGUGUGUGUGUGAAAGGGGAUUCAUUUAAAUCUUUAUUUUAUGGAUAUAUAUUGUUUCCUUUAAAUAGGUAUUACUUAAAAUUAUUGUUUGGUAGAGUUUAAUUGUAGGUUGUUAGUGUAUAUUAUUAUUUUUAGGUAAAGAUACUUUGGUUCAAAUGGUCAGUAGACAUGUCGUCAGUUAUUUUUUUAGUGGUCCUUUUGCCCAGAUUGUGUGGUACCAGGUUUUUGUGUUUUGUAUUCGCUUGCUUGUGAGGGGAUCGGUUUUUAUUUAUUUAUCUUUUUCCAGCCAAAAAAUAGAAGAAAUGCUAAUAAGACACCACUAUAUUGCACUCCUGAAUGUCUGACAGGUAUAAGCGUUCAUGCCCAUUGAACAGAAGAAAGAGUUUCAAUGUUAAGCUUAUAAAAGGCCGGACACGGCAUGAGGGCACACCAACAUGUGGGUGUGAUGGGGCUGGUUGAACCCUUAUCUCUUGUAUCAUUCACAGCUUGGAGCCUCGCUACUGAACCUAUAGUCAACCUGUGAUGUACUUUCUCUGUUUUCCUUUGAUUGCGAUUUAGAAUAGUAGAUGCAAAAUGCUGACCUAGUAGGCAUUCACUGUGACAUUUUUUUUUUGAGGAAACAGAAUUAAGUUUCUGUGGUGAUGAUAGUUCUAUACAUAUAUUAUGGGACACAUAUAUUAUAUAUAUAUAUAUACAUAUAUAUAUAUAAUGUAUUAUGGGGGCAUGUGUUACUUUAUCAAACUUGUAAAAGACCAAUGUAAACUGGCUGCAGUGUGUCUAUGGCUAAUCAUGGCUGAGAAUAAAGUGUACAACAAGAA
ensembl:lncRNA